UACAGAGGGGGCAAGCGUUGUUCGGAAUUACUGGGCGUAAAGGGCGCGUAGGUGGCCUUCUAAGUUGAACGUGAAAUCCCUGGGCUCAACCCAGGAACUGCGUCCAAGACUGGGAGGCUUGAAUCCGGGAGAGGGAUGCGGAAUUCCAGGUGUAGCGGUGAAAUGCGCAGAUAUCGGGAGGAACACCGGUGGCGAAGGCGGUUCUCUGGGCCUUACCUGACGCUGAGGAGCGAAAGCGUGGGGAGCGAACAGG
rnacentral:rRNA from 1 species